CGCUGAAGCCUAACUUCGCGCUGCUCGACCUGCUCGAAGCGCUCCAGACAAGCGAGUAAGAGGCAGCAGAUUAUUAUGAUACAGAGUAAACGCGCUGCAGCAUCAUGAAGGAGAAUUGAAGCCCUAAACACAAACACACACAAUGUUUGUGGAAACCUCACGUUGGCAGUGUGAUUAUGCGGUAUUCGUGAAUUGUGGCCACCUACAUUUAUAUAUGAAGUACAGCUUAUUAAGAGAUUAUGUAUAGUUUAUUAGUGUAUAAUAUUCAUGGGAAAUAUUAUGCAGGCACAUCACA